AAUUCGUGCCCCGCGAGACCUUACCUGGGUUUGACAUAUACCGGAAAGCUGCAGAGAUGUGGCCCCCCUUGUGGUCGGUAUACAGGUGGUGCAUGGCUGUCGUCAGCUCGUGUCGUGAGAUGUUGGGUUAAGUCCCCAACGAGCGCAACCCCUAUCUUAUGUUGCCAGCACGUUAUGGUGGGGACUCGUAAGAGACUGCCGGGGUCAACUCGGAGGAAGGUGGGGACGACGUCAAGUCAUCAUGCCCCUUAUGUCCAGGGCUUCACACAUGCUACAAUGGCCAGUACAGAGGGCUGCGAGACCGUGAGGUGGAGCGAAUCCCUUAAAGCUGGUCUCAGUUCGGAUCGGGGUCUGCAACUCGACCCCGUGAAGUCGGAGUCGCUAGUAAUCGCAGAUCAGCAACGCUGCGGUGAAUACGUUCCCGGGCCUUGUACACACCGCCCGUCACGUCAUGAAAGUCGGUAACACCCGAAGCCGGUGGCUUAACCCCUUGUGGGAGGGAGCCGUCGAAGGUGGGAUCGGCGAUUGGGACGAAGUCGUAACAAGGUAACCGUA
rnacentral:rRNA from 1 species